UACGGAGGGUGCGAGCGUUUAAUCGGAAUUACUGGGCGUAAAGGGUACGUAGGUGGUUUGAUAAGUUAACUGUGAAAUCCCUGGGCUUAACCUGGGAAGGUCAGUUAAGACUGUUGAACUGGAGUAUGGGAGAGGGUAGUGGAAUUUCCGGUGUAGCGGUGAAAUGCGUUAGAGAUCGGAAGGAACACCCAGGGGGGAAACCGAGUGGACUGGCACGGGUGCUGACGCGUCAGGUGCGAAAGCGUGGGGAGCGAACCGGG
rnacentral:rRNA from 1 species